GACGAACGCUGGCGGCGUGCCUAAUACAUGCAAGUUGAGCGCUGAAGGUUGGUACUUGUCCCAACUGGAUGAGCAGCGAACGGGUGAGUAACGCGUGGGGAAUCUGCCUUUGAGCGGGGGACAACAUUUGGAAACGAAUGCUAAUACCGCAUAAAAACUUUAAACACAAGUUUUAAGUUUGAAAGAUGCAAUUGCAUCACUCAAAGAUGAUCCCGCGUUGUAUUAGCUAGUUGGUGAGGUAAAGGCUCACCAAGGCGAUGAUACAUAGCCGACCUGAGAGGGUGAUCGGCCACAUUGGGACUGAGACACGGCCCAAACUACUACGGGAGGCAGCAGUAGGGAAUCUUCGGCAAUGGACGAAAGUCUGACCGAGCAACGCCGCGUGAGUGAAGAAGGGUGUCGGAUCGUAAAACUCUGUAGGUAGAGAAGAACGUUGGUGAGAGUGGAAAGCUCAUCAAGUGACGGUAACUACCCAGAAAGGGACGGCUAACUACGUG
rnacentral:rRNA from 1 species